UACGGAGGGAGCGAGCGUUGUUCGGAAUUACUGGGCGUAAAGCGUAUGUAGGCGGCUUCGUAAGUCGAGUGUGAAAUCCCAGAGCUUAACUUUGGAACUGCAUUCGAGACUGCAAGGCUUGAGUAUCGGAGAGGUUGGCGGAAUUCCCAGUGUAGCAGUGAAAUGCGCAGAUAUUGGGAGGAACACCGAUGGCGUAAGCAGCCAACUGGACGAUUACU
rnacentral:rRNA from 1 species